rnacentral:rRNA from 1 species
UACAGAGGUCCCAAGCGUUGUUCGGAUUCACUGGGCGUAAAGGGUGCGUAGGCGGUCGGGUAAGUCUGAUGUGAAAUCUCACAGCUUAACUGUGAAACUGCAUUGGAUACUAUCCGGCUCGAGGAAUGGAGGGGAGACUGGACUACUUGGUGUAGCAGUGAAAUGCGUAGGUAUCAAGUGGAACACCAGUGGCGAAGGCGAGUCUCUGGACAUUUCCUGACGCUGAGGCACGAAAGCCAGGGGAGCAAACGGG